GCGCGAUGCAGAACGGCGGCGGCGGCUGGAGCUUGCAGGGGCAGGAUCCGUGCAGGGUAGGGGCUGGGGAGGCGGAUCAGGAGGCGGGCGGCGUGGCGGGGAUUGCCGGUGACGACGAGGAAGGCCGGAGCGCGGCUUCCCGGGUGGGUUCAUGGCAUCCACGGCUAUUGGGCAGAGAGGAGACAAGGAGGCGAGGGAGAGAAGAAGGGACAAAGGAAGAGCGGUGCGGCGACCUAGGCAGGAGCUCGCCGGAGCCGGGCGAUGGCGGACGGGCGCGGGAGACGGAGGGAUCCCGUGCGGCGGCGUGAAGUCCUUGCUAGUGGCGUCGACGGCUGGGCGUGCGACGGCGCGGAGCCCUCCCGUUGCUACGGCGUCCGGUGGAGUGCCCUGAGGGCGCGGAUGCUGCUGCUACACCAGCACCACCAGCCCAAGGUCAGCCUCCUCCACCUCGUUCUGUAGCGCAACUCCUGUCUCGCAUCAUGCUGCCUUACUUCUGCCCCUUUGGAUUGGAGAGCGUGUGCUCUCAGCUCUGCUGGGCCAGCUGUGCUCUGUUGCGUGCGAGCAAGGGAGAAGAGCGAGCUUGCUGAUUCUUCUUACCUGCAGCUCCAACACGAAAGCCAGCCAAUCGACUCUUGAUAGCAGAACACAAACAAUACAAGUAAACAGAAUUCUAAGACAGCCAAGGUGGAUAUGAUAGCAGCGGAAGUAAUUGUUGAUUUAAGUGUAACAACAUUGUGUGCUAUUCUAUCCUGGUCUUGCUUUUCUUCUUGGAUAACUUCUCUAAACUCUCAAUAGAUUUCUUGGGUUGGCGUGGUUGUUAGUAUUAGUUAAUACAAACCCUAUAUAGCCAGCUAUGGCUAUAUAUGAAUUUUGUUACUUGAAAUGUUCAAUACAAGUGUUGACUUGAAAAACUAAAAUCGUGUGUAAGGAAUCAUGUAACCAUAUUGGAUGAAGGUGACCCAUAAAUUCAUUCAGUUAAUUGAAUUCUUUUUGCCUUCUGCUCAAGAUAGGUACCCAAGCUCUAAUAAUUUCAGUGGCAACUACAUCCGAACUUUGUCACAUCUUUCUAUUUAAAAAUUGUGAUUAUAUCAUUUGUCAUCUGAAAACCAGACUCAUGUAUACAUUAUGGGACAUAAUGUCCAGGAAAUAAUCACCAGGUACAGACAUCACUCUUGACCUACAUUGUACAACAUUGCAUAAUUUUCUGUUUUUCUUGAGGUACCGCUCAGUACUUUUUUAUCGCACACAUAGAUAGAACAAAGGCCACAAGAGCUGAUUUGGUACACCUUGCUGCAUGCGCUCUCACUUGAUUAAGAUAUUCAAAGUGUGAGCUUUUGAAAUUUCCAAAAAUAAGUCAGAUUCUCAUUAUUAACCUAUGUGCACAUGCCAAUAUUUUCUGACUCUGACAGAUUGUGUUUGAUAAUAAUUUGAUGAACCACCAUGUCGCCCUUCCGCCUGGUUCCAUGGGAAAGUAAUUUACAAAGCUCCAGUUGGUCAAUACAGCCUAGAUGUUUUGUUUUGAACAGGCAGCCUACAGGUUGACAUUUUUUUUAGUUCCAUGUUUUCUAGCAUUGCUUAACUUUAUUUGAAAAAGUGUUGUAGUUAUGUAUGCAGGAUACAGUACUAGAGGUGUAUGCAGGAUACAGUAGUGGAGUUGGAAUUUCAGGGCAUCCAAAAAUAAUUUACUAUGCUUCAGGCAAGAAAGUUAAUUUGUUUGACCUUUGUAAGGACUACAUUACUAGCUUAAUGCAUGGAACUUAUUGAGCUGCAUACAUGGCAUGUGCGUACAUAGAGACCUGCUGCAUCAAAGCUCGGUGCGGAUACACCUCUUCUUACAGGACAGGUUGUGUACAACUUAUGUUGAGCUUAAAUUUCCAUAAUAAAACGUGUGUUUUUAUUUAUCAUUGUUUCCCUCCUACAAAACCAAACAUUUUCAGAUGUUGUUUUUUCAUUUCCUUCCGACGCUAUUAAAUCUCAGUCUUACCUAUGUUGAAAUGGUUCCAGUGUGUGUGUGAUGCAUUGCUUCCCUUAGUUUUCGGAGGAACAUGGUGCUAUUCCUGGUGAUUUUGGUUAUGGAAAAGCUGACAUUAGUCAGGAACUUUCUAAGGUGAUCACUUUAUUGCUCCGUUCUCAUCAUACCGUCUCUACACUGUCUACUGAGUUCAAAAAUCCAUGCUGUACUCUAAUUCUGAAGCUUUGGUUUAUGUGGGAUGUGGCUGAAAGAGGAAAUGAGAUAGCCGAUGUUUAAUGGGUUUCCCCCAAUCGACAAUGACAUUUCCUCACAUGAUGUGAAGAGUGGAGCCGCUUAAAGUAAAUGGCGAGCUCACCAUGGUCGCCUUUCUUACUACAGAUUGGGAGCCGCCGACUACGACCCUAUGACCCAUGGUGUGUAGAUGAUACACUGGUGAGGCAUUCAAGGGACAAACAGGAGCUCACGAUUUUCAGGGAUGAGGAGGAGCUUGCAAUUUCCAGGCUUGGCCUGCCCGACCUGCCGACGCAUGUGGAAGACUAGGAGUCUGGUGUUUUCUCUGCAGCGAAGCACAAAUGUCCCCGGGUGCAACUCACGGGCUCUUUUGCUUUUACACACUUCAUUUUGUAAUUUUAGUGUUCGACUAAUAGUACAUCUGUUGGAACAAGUGCAAAGGCAACAUCAUCUUCCAGCAAAAAAUUUCCCCUGCGUUGAGCGCUUCAGAGAUGCACUAGGAGAGAGCAGGUUCUGGUGGACAAAGAGGUGAUAAGCGAUGAACUCUUCCAGUAUAAAUGUUGAUGGUCCUAAUUCCUUUAUAAUUUAUUUCUUGAUCACUUUAAGUUACAAAACAUCUCUGUGACUUUUCGUGUUCUGUGAUAAUAUAUUUGAUUAUAGCCA